GUGGGGAAUAUUGGACAAUGGGCGAAAGCCUGAUCCAGCCAUGCCGCGUGUGUGAAGAAGGUCUUCGGAUUGUAAAGCACUUUAAGUUGGGAGGAAGGGUUGUAGAUUAAUACUCUGCAAUUUUGACGUUACCGACAGAAUAAGCACCGGCUAACUCUGUGCCAGCAGCCGCGGUAAUACAGAGGGUGCAAGCGUUAAUCGGAAUUACUGGGCGUAAAGCGCGCGUAGGUGGUUUGUUAAGUUGGAUGUGAAAUCCCCGGGCUCAACCUGGGAACUGCAUUCAAAACUGACUGACUAGAGUAUGGUAGAGGGUGGUGGAAUUUCCUGUGUAGCGGUGAAAUGGGUAGAAAUUGGGAGGAACACCGGUGGGGAAGGCGGCCCCCUGGCCCAAUACUGACAUUGAGGUGGGAAAGCGUGGGGAGCAAACAGGAUUAGAUACCCUGGUAGUCCACCCCGUAAACGAUUUCAACUAGCCGUUGGAAGCCUUGAGCUUUUAGUGGCGCAGCUAACGCAUUAAGUUGACCGC
rnacentral:rRNA from 1 species